GAUGAACGCUGGCGGCGUGCCUAAUACAUGCAAGUCGAGCGAACAGACGAGGAGCUUGCUCCUCUGACGUUAGCGGCGGACGGGUGAGUAACACGUGGAUAACCUACCUAUAAGACUGGUAUAACUUCGGGAAACCGGAGCUAAUACCGUAUAAUAUAUUGAACCGCAUGGUUCAAUAGUGAAAGACGGUUUUGCUGUCACUUAUAGAUGGAUCCGCGCCGCAUUAGCUAGUUGGUAAGGUAACGGCUUACCAAGGCAACGAUGCGUAGCCGACCUGAGAGGGUGAUCGGCCACACUGGAGCUGAGACACGGUCCAGACUCCUACGGGAGGCAGCAGUAGGGAAUCUUACGCAAUGGGCGAAAGCCUGACGGAACAACGCCGCGUGAGUGAUAAAGGUCUUGGGAUCGUAAAACUCUGUUAUUAGGGAAGAACAAAUGUGUAAGUAAAUAUGCACGUAUUGACGGUACCUAAUCAGAAAGCCACGGCUAACUACGUG
rnacentral:rRNA from 1 species